GUGCCAGCCCGCCGCGGUAAUACGAAAGGUGCAAGCGUUAAUCGGAAUUACUGGGCGUAAAGCGCGCGUAGGCGGUGUGUUAAGUCGGAUGUGAAAGCCCAGGGCUCAACCUUGGAAUUGCAUCCGAUACUGGCACGCUAGAGUGCAGUAGAGGGAGGUGGAAUUUCCGGUGUAGCGGUGAAAUGCGUAGAGAUCGGAAGGAACACCAGUGGCGAAGGCGGCCUCCUGGACUGACACUGACGCUGAGGUGCGAAAGCGUGGGGAGCAAACAGGAUUAGAUACCCUGGUAGUCCACGCUGUAAACGAUGUCUACUAGCCGUCGGGGUCCUUAGCGACUUUGGUGGCGCAGCUAACGCGAUAAGUAGACCGCCUGGGGAGUACGGCCGCAAGGUUAAAACUCAGAUGAAUUGACGGGGGCCCGCACAAGCGGUGGAGCAUGUGGUUUAAUUCGAUGCAACGCGAAGAACCUUACCAGGUCUUGACAUCCUCGGAAUUUGGCAGAGAUGCCUUAGUGCCUUCGGGAGCCGAGUGACAGGUGCUGCAUGGCCGUCGUCAGCUCGUGUCGUGAGAUGUUGGGUUAAGUCCCGUAACGAGCGCAACCCUUGUCCUUAGUUGCCAGCACGUAAUGGUGGGAACUCUAGGGAGACUGCCGGUGACAAACCGGAGGAAGGUGGGGACGACGUCAGGUCAUCAUGGCCCUUACGACCUGGGCUACACACGUGCUACAAUGGCUGGUACAAAGGGCUGCAACCCCGCGAGGGCAAGCUAAUCCCAUAAAACCUUUCGUAGUCCGGAUCGCAGUCUGCAACUCGACUGCGUGAAGUCGGAAUCGCUAGUAAUCGCGAAUCAGAAUGUCGCGGUGAAUACGUUCCCGGGCUUUGUACACACCGCCCGUCACACCAUGGGAGUGGGUUGCAAAAGAAGUGGGUAGUCUAACCUUCGGGAGGACGCUCACCACUUUGUGAUUCAUGACUGGGGUGAAGUCGUAACAAGGUAACC
rnacentral:rRNA from 1 species